UCAUCAGAUUUUGUACUUUGAGCCUCUGAAGUGGUUUUUAUUGGCCGUUUUUCUGGAAAAUGUGUCUGAUCAUGCAGAAAACGUUUAUUUAGGGACGGUGGUCAGAUGAAGCCGUUUAUCAUCACACAGUCUUAAUCAUGGCCCUCAAUGUUCAGCCUUAAGAAAUCAGGAAAGGGAUCUAAGUUAUGCAGAGGUUUGAAAAUGUCAAUCAGUCGUGUUCAAGCUCUGAUAAUGAAGUGGGAAAUUAGGGGUUCUGUUGAUGCCAAGACACAGUCAGGCCAUCAAAAGAUUUCAUCAACAACAGCCAGAAACACUGAUCAGGAUGCAAAGACAAACCCAGAAACAGCUUUGUCUGGAAUACAGGCUCCUCUGCAGAAAAGUGCACAAUAAACAACACAAAUCAGCCUGCCUCCGAUAUCCUAACAACAGCCAGACGAGCUGCAGCGAAGAGCCCAGAACAGAACUUCAUGGACUCGGCUGUGGGGCAGUAAAAUCUGAAUAAUUCCUUUUUGACUGAUCUGUGAUACGUUUGAGUCGUCGGCGUCUCAGCGGCUGGUGGAAAACUGGAGCUGCAGCCGUGGUUUCUUCAGCUUCUCUACAGUUUGCUUCCAUGAAAACUCACUGUGACGGCGUACAUGAUGGUUGUGAUCGUUGGCUACAGCUGGAGAAAGAAAGACCCACAGCAUGAUUGUGUUUGCACACUGAAUCCCUGCAGGCUGAGAAACGUCCUCCGCUCCCCCCAGAAACCCACCUCCUCAACUUCUCCUCACGCCCAGAGGCCCAGAUCCAAACUGAUCGGAUCAAAACCAGGACCCCGGCCUCUGAAGAUGAAACCAGUUAAAGCGCUUGUGAGAAAUCUGCCCGUUCAAGCCCAACGAGUUAACUUCAGAUGAACCACGAUGACGACGAGGCGCGAGAGUCCGCGGUGUAAUGUCCUUCAUGAGGGAGAUGGGAGUAACAACGCCGCCGACAUGUACAGGACACUGAAAAUACACCAAGUACGACAUUCAAAGUCUCUCUUGGACUUGGGGAAAGGAGUGCAGUUGUGGCAGGUAGCUUAUAAACAGCUCAGAACAGUUUCUCAGAGAGUUCGGGUCAGAAAGAGUCGAGGCGGAGCCGAGAUCCUUCCGGCAGCUUCUCUUUUUGUCCUCAGACUCCUUUGACCAGGACCACAGUCUGCCCGGCCGGCGCCUUCGGGGAGCAGUUGUCUGUGGUUUUGGCGUUGUCGGCACGCGGGCGCCGCAGGUUCAGGAAGCUGAAGCGUGCCUCCAGGCUGAAGCUCUUCUUGGUGCUGGGGGUGGCGCUGUUGUUGUUGGUGGUGGCCGGAGCGUUGUCCAGAUCUCCCUCUGCACCUUCUGCCCGGUCGCCUGCAGCACAGGAGAAGGUCGCAUUCUGGCGACGACGCUCCGCUGCACUCGCUGCGAGGCCCGAGCACCGGCGAGAUGAGGCCGAAGUCGGACAGCGACACGGUGGUGGGAAGGUCCAGGCUGCAGGGCCUGGACAGAGGAGACGGAGAGGAGGAGGAGGAGGAGGAGGAGGGAGUGGGUGACGGAGAGGCGGAGGAGGACGUGCAGGAGGAGGUGGAGGAGGAGCUGGCGAAGGGGCAGGGCGACAGGAGCUCCUGAGGGCUGCUGGGAGAUGAACCCAGGCUGCAGGUGGAGCGCGUCUCUGAGUCUUCCUCCGACAUGAUGCUGCUGCCGCCACAAGCCUCGUCAUCGAAACACACCGACGCAACUGCAGGAAGACAGAGGGAGGACGAAAGAGAGAAAGAAAAGAGGACAAAGGCAGGAAAGUA